GUGGUAUUUCAUGCCUCACGUGGGGAGCGCCUCCUCAUAUUGCAUUUGUGAUAGACAGUUCCUCGCAUGAAUAAUAGAACGGCCUUGAAUGAAUUCACCUCAGCUCUGCCACAGGGAGAAAUGCAAGCAUGAAUGUAAACGGCCAGAAAACCCAGAACUGGAAAAGUGAGACAUUUGUUCCAUCGGGCAGUUCAUUCUAAGGGAAUGGAAGCCAGAGGAAGAUUUGUGUUUCUCUGCGUGCUUUAUGCAGAUGGGGGAGGAGCCCCUCCUCUGAGGCCAUUUCUGGGCUGCCGCCUAUGGUAACGGAGUUCUCUGUUCUGCCCGUGUGAUGCCUGAUGGCGCACACCAAGCUGUCCAGGUGCCCCGCGGGGUUCAGGUGUAUGCAGAGCCUGGCAGGGCAUUCCCGCACAGCGGUCUUCUCACCCAGCUUGGAUGCCUGGUGACUGGCCAGUUCAUGAGGGAGAAAAGCCGCAGAUCUGGGAUGGAAACGGAAGGACCGUGACGUCAGGAGUGAUCCUGUUGAAGAUCCUAUUUAUGGAAGUUUACAGUUCACGUGUUACCUGCAUGUUCAUUUCUUUACCUGCGUCACGUGAUCCCCCAAACCAUCUCAGAGAAACGGGGCCCUAAAAUACAG
ensembl:lncRNA